rnacentral:rRNA from 1 species
UACAGAGGUCCCAAGCGUUGUUCGGAUUCAUUGGGCGUAAAGGGUGCGUAGGUGGCGCCGUAAGUGGGGUGUGAAAUUUCGGAGCUUAACUCCGAAACUGCAUUCCAUACUGCGGUGCUUGAGGACUGGAGAGGAGACUGGAAUUUACGGUGUAGCAGUGAAAUGCGCAGAGAUCGUAAGGAAGACCAGUGGCGAAGGCGGGUCUCUGGACAGUUCCUGACACUGAGGCACGAAGGCCAGGGGAGCAAACGGG